GAGGACUAGCGAGGAGGAGUUGAGAGAACGGAGCAGACGCCAUGGCGACCAACAUCGAGCAGAUUUUUAGGUCUUUCGUGGUCAGUAAAUUCCGGGAAAUUCAACAGGAGCUUUCCAGUGGAAGGAAUGAAGGCCAGCUGAAUGGUGAAACAAACACACCCAUUGAAGGAAACCAGGCGGGUGAUGCAGCUGCCUCUGCCAGGAGUCUACCAAAUGAAGAAAUAGUGCAGAAGAUAGAAGAAGUACUUUCUGGGGUCUUAGAUACAGAACUACGAUAUAAGCCAGGUAAGUUGGAGAUAAUUAACUGUCUCAAAAAUUUUCUUUUAAGAUUUUUUUGAAAUUUGAAGGUUAAUAUUAGUUUUUGACCUCAGUAUUUAAGAUAUUUAUUAAAUUAAAAACUUCAGGCUGGGUGCGAUGGCUCACGCCUGUAAUCCCAGCACUUUGGGAGGCUGAGGUGGGUGGAUCACCUGAGGUCAGGAGUUCCAGACCAACCUGGUCAACAUGGAGAAACCCCAUCUCCACUAAAAAUACAAAAAUUAGCCGGGUGUGGUGGUGGGUGCCUGUAAUCCCAGCUACUUGGGAAGCUGAGGCAGGAGAAUUGCAUGAACCCAGGAGGUGAAGGUUGCAGUGCGCUGAGAUUGCACCAUUGCACUCCAG
rnacentral:sRNA from 1 species